UACGGAGGGUGCGAGCGUUGUUCGGAAUUAUUGGGCGUAAAGCGCGCGUAGGCGGCUGGGUAAGUCUCACUGUGAAAGCCCGCGGCUCAACCGCAGGAGGCCAGGGGAUACUGCCGAGCUGGAGAGAGGUAGAGGCGAGCGGAAUUCCGGGUGUAGCGGUGGAAUGCGUAGAGAUCCGGAAGAACACCAGAGGCGAAGGCGGCUCGCUGGACCUGUUCUGACGCUGAGGCGCGAAAGCGUGGGGAGCGAACGGG
rnacentral:misc_RNA from 1 species